AAUGAAUACUAGAAACCCUUCAUUAGUGCAUCAUUAAAUAUUACAUUUUUUACAUCACAUAUUUUUCACUAGAUUAUAGAACUACAAAGGAAUAUCUUCCCUGAAACCUUGCUGCAAUUUUGAAUAAAAGGAAUAUGAAAUUACAUGGGAAAACUUAAAAGAGGAAAGACUGUCAAGAAUUUUUGAAGUUUUGAAAGCCUUCAGCUGGGAGCAUCUUUUCUCCUCUAAAGUGGGGUAGGAUGGGCUUCCUGAUCCUCCUCGAUUGUGCUGGAUGACCACUGCUCCACUCACCCAUACAUGGAGCCACACAUUCCUCCUCCACCACUGGAGCGCCAGUCACCUGGCUGAGCUCUUCCCUUGGGAUGGGCUCGCUUCUUUGCCUACUUUUCAGAGUUUGGACACUGAAGAUAAAGGACAGUAGCCAUAAACAGAGGUACUUCGGAAUCAUGGAAGGAAUAUAUGGCUUUAUUAGAGAGAGUUGUAUUAUGAAACCUUCAAAGAAUAGACCAGCGACAUCAGCAUCUUCUGAACACUUGUUAGAAGUGCAAAUUCUUGAGCCUCACCCAGGUCUGUGGAAUCUGAAUCUCUCGGGGUGGGGUUCAGCAAUCUUCAUUUCAACAUGAC